CCUCCUGAGGCACAAUCGGUGGCGCGUCUGAUUUGUUAGGCAUACUCGACUUGCGCAACUGAAUUUCCAAUCAGAAGGUUAUUAGUUCGAUCCUAAGUGGGAGAG